UCCUUUCAUGGGAUCUAGUCUGAACAUAGUCAUACUGCUCUAAUCUAGCCCUCUUUUUUUCUCUUACUCUAUCUCUCUCCUUUAUCUUAUCUGCCUCAAUCUACUAAGCAUCCAUCAUCUGUCUGGAAAAAUCCAUGUCUCUAUUGAGCAUAGUAGUUCUAUACUCUUUCAGCACUAGACUAGACACACCAGUUAUGAACUUACCUAUACUAGAUCGGGU
rnacentral:lncRNA from 1 species